UACGUAGGAGGCAAGCGUUGUCCGGAGUUACUGGGCGUAAAGGGCCCGCAGGCGGUGGAGUAAGUUUGGAGUGACAGUUCCCAGCUUAACCGGGAAAGGACUUCGAAAACUGCUCGACUUGAGGACUGGAGAGGAAGGCGGAAUUCCGGGUGGAGCGGUGAAAUGCGUAGAGAUCCGGAGGAACACCGACGGCGAAGGCAGCCUUCUGGAAAGUACCUGACGCUGAGGGGCGAAAGCUAGGGGAGCGAAGCGGG
rnacentral:rRNA from 1 species